GAGGGAAGAUAGUAGGUUUAUUCAAUAUUCAAGUGUGUCUAUUACAAUUCAAAAACCUCAAUUUAUAGGUCCCAAAUAACAAUAAAAAGGAAAAUUGUAAUAAAAGGAAAAAACUAGAAUUUCCUUUUGUUUAAAAGGAAACGAAUUUAUUAUUCUACCAAAACAAGAGACAGCAAUAAUGAAAAUUUGAUCUUUAAUUGAUUUGAUUACGAUUUCUCCUAGAAUAUACUUUCCAAUUUGCAUCAUUCCUCC
rnacentral:lncRNA from 1 species